rnacentral:rRNA from 1 species
AUGUACCUCGACUGCCUGCUGCUACCGACCGACACAACACAAAUGCGCAAGAUUGCCAAGACAAUGGAAAAGACAUCGUUACCACGAGCAAACCACCUAAAAGAGAGUGACCUAAGGAAAAUAGCUAGAGCAGACAUGAAAACGGACGGAAAAGCACGACCAGAUGACUAUCAAUUUGGCAAGAUACAGACAUGGAAAGGAACAGCGGAGAGGAUAUUCUAUGCCAACACAGCAACACCUUUGUAUUCAAUACAGAUGAUACUAGCACAACAACAGGAGCACCCGCAAACCACCAAGCUACUACCACCUCCAACCAAGCGACAUGACGAAGCACAUGUCAGCACAAGUGGAAGCAAGGAACCAUUCAUAGGCACCAGCACAGGAUCAUAUGAAAUAUUCGGAAGGAUAGAAGAAAUGUUGAAACAAGUAUUCGACGAAACAAAACAGAUACCCGGAAUAAUGACGAGGGCUGGACACCAAUGCAGCGAACAAGAGAAGGAAUUAGAUGAAAUAAUGAGGAACGCAGUGGUGCAACAAACAACGGCCGUGAUUGAUUCUCUCGAACAACUUAGAGAAUUCCAGGACAUUGUUUGUAGAGUGAGCUUUCAAGAAGAGACGACGCAGAAGCUGCAGGAUCGAACUGACGCCGGAGACACAGCUCCACUUGUAGAUGGUAGCCACACAAAAGAAGUCGUAGCCGCCCCAGAACCAGGAGGGAGGAGAAAAAUAAAGAAGGAAGAACAGGACCAACAAAACAAACAUGAAGGGAAGAAAAGAAUAACAAAAUCAAGAACACAGAACUCGAGAAUUAACCAGAGGGAGACAGAAGAACAUAACUAG